rnacentral:snRNA from 1 species
UGCCGUUGUGAGUAGAGAG